UGGGGAAUUUUGCACAAUGGGGGAAACCCUGAUGCAGCGACGCCGCGUGAUUUAGAAGGCCUUCGGGUUGUAAAAAUCUUUUCUAUGGGAAGAAAAUGACAGUACCAUAGGAAUAAGGACCGGCCAAUUACGUGCCAGCAGCCGCGGUAAUACGUAAGGUCCGAGCGUUGUCCGGAAUCAUUGGGCGUAAAGGGUACGUAGGCGGGUAAGCAAGUUAGAAGUGAAAUCCUAUAGCUCAACUAUAGUAAGCUUUUAAAACUGCUCCUCUUGAAGGAUGGAAGGGAAAGUGGAAUUCCUAGUGUAGCGGUGAAAUGCGCAGAUAUUAGGAGGAAUACCGGUGGCGAAGGCGGCUUUCUGGCCAUAACCUGACGCUGAGGUACGAAAGCGUGGGUAGCAAACAGG
rnacentral:rRNA from 1 species